AUUGAACGCUGGCGGCAGGCCUACCACAUGCAAGUCGAACGAGUGGCGGACGGGUGAGUAAUGUCUGGGAAACUGCCUGAUGUAGGGGGAUCACUACUGGACACGGUAGCUAAUACCGCAUACCCUCAGAUGUGCCCAGAUGGGGUUCGCUUGUUGGUGGGGUAACGGCUCACCAAGGCGACGAUCCCUAGCUGGUCUGAGAGGAUGACCAGCCACACUGGAACGGAGACACGGUCCAGACGCCUACGGGAGGCAGCAGUGGGGAAUAUUGCACAAUGGGCGCAAGCCUGAUGCAGCCAUGCCGAGUGGAUGAAGAAGGCCAUCGGGUUGUAAAGUACUUUCAGCGGGGAGGCGUUACCCGCAGAAGAAGCACCGGCUAACUCCGUGCCAGCCGCCGCGGUAAUAC
rnacentral:rRNA from 1 species